AUUGAACGCUGGCGGCAGGCUUAACACAUGCAAGUCGAGCGGAGAUGAGGUGCUUGCACCUUAUCUUAGCGGCGGACGGGUGAGUAAUGCUUGGGAAUCUGCCCAGUAGCGGGGGAUAACGUUUCGAAAGGAACGCUAAUACCGCAUACGCCCUGCGGGGGAAAGGGGGGGAUCUUCGGACCUCUCCCUAUUGGAUGAGCCCAAGUCGGAUUAGCUAGUUGGUGGGGUAAAGGCCAACCAAGGCGACGAUCCGUAGCUGGUCUGAGAGGAUGAUCAGCAAAACUGGAACUGAGACACGGGCCAGACUCCUACGGGAGGCAGCAGUGGGGAAUAUUGGACAAUGGGCGAAAGCCUGAUCCAGCCAUGCCGCGUGUGUGAAGAAGGCCUUCGGGUUGUAAAGCACUUUAAGCGAGGAGGAAUGGCUGAGGGUUAAUAACCUUCAGCAGUGACGUUACUCGCAGAAUAAGCACCGGCUAACUCUGUGCCAGCAGCCGCAGUAACAC
rnacentral:rRNA from 1 species